rnacentral:misc_RNA from 1 species
GAUGAAGAACGCAGCGAAAUGCGAUAAGUAAUGUGAAUUGCAGAAUUCAGUGAAUCAUCGAAUCUUUGAACGCACAUUGCGCCCCUUGGUAUUCCGAGGGGCAUGCCUGUUCGAGCGUCAUUAUAACCCUCAAGCUCAGCUUGGUGUUGGGGCCUGCUGCACUGGCAGCCCUUAAAAUCAGUGGCGGCGCCAUCUGGCUCUAAGCGUAGUAAUUCUUCUCGCUAUGGAGUCCUGGUGGAUGCUUGCCAUCAACCCCCAAUUUUUCUAUGGUUGACCUCGGAUCAGGUAGGGAUACCCGCUGCACUUAAGCAUAUCAAUAAGCGGAGGA